rnacentral:rRNA from 1 species
UCUAAGUUUGAUGGCGACCGGCGCACGGGUGAGUAACACGUAUCCAACCUGCCGAUGACUCGGGGAUAGCCUUUCGAAAGAAAGAUUAAUACCCGAUGGCAUAGUUCUUCCGCAUGGUAGAACUAUUAAAGGAUUUCGGUCAUCGAUGGGGAUGCGUUCCAUUAGGUUGUUGGCGGGGUAACGGGCCCACCAAGCCUUCGAUGGAUAGGGGUUCUGAGAGGAAGGUCCCCCACAUUGGAACUGAGACACGGUCCAAACUCCUACGGGAGGCAGCAU